AGGAAUAAAGCACCGGAUCCCAUCUCGAACUCCUCCGUGAAAGUCCUCAGCGCCUAUGAUACUCCGUCUUAAGACGUGGGAAAGUCGGUCGCCGCCA
rnacentral:rRNA from 1 species